UUAAUUGAAGCCAAAGCAGAGGCCUUUCAUUGUUAAUGAAAUUAUUGAUUAAUAUUAAUCCAAUUAAA
rnacentral:tRNA from 1 species